CAGUAGCCGCGGGAAUACGUAGGUGGCAAGCGUUGUCCGGAUUUAUUGGGCGUAAAGCGAGCGCAGGCGGUCAAUUAAGUCUGAUGUGAAAGCCCCCGGCUCAACCGGGGAGGGUCAUUGGAAACUGGUUGACUUGAGUGCAGAAGAGGAGAGUGGAAUUCCAUGUGUAGCGGUGAAAUGCGUAGAUAUAUGGAGGAACACCAGUGGCGAAGGCGACUCUCUGGCCUGUAACUGACGCUGAGGCUCGAAAGCGUGGGUAGCAAACAGGAUUAGAUACCCCAGUAGUCCCUGUCUCUUAUAC
rnacentral:rRNA from 1 species